rnacentral:rRNA from 1 species
AAUCAACGCUGGCGGCGUGCCUCAGACAUGCAAGUCGAACGCGAAAGUUUCCUUCGGGGAGCGAGUAGAGUGGCGCACGGGUGAGUAACACGUAGGUAAUCUACCUUCGGAUGGGGAAUAACAAUCGGAAACGGUUGCUAAUACCGCAUAAUGCAGCGGCACCUAAUGGUGACAGUUGUUAAAGCGGGGGAGUCGUAAGACCUCGCGUCUGAAGAGGAGCCU